rnacentral:lncRNA from 1 species
GCACUAGUGUUGCCCACUGCCACAUUUGUCAAUUCGUCCUAAGAAAUGUAUUAGUUUCAUAAGCUUUUGAUGUUCAAGUAGAUAGGGCAUGUACUAGAAUGCUUUUCUUAUUUUAAUGUUGGCUUGGAUGAUUGGGAAAUGCUCGCUUUUUACAUCUGAAGUUUAAAGUAUGGGUUGGAUUACUCAUUUGAUGGUUUUGCAAUGUUUUCUUUCUAAUUGAUCACUGUUCAUUAGGUCAAAAUGGAGCUCUAGUAAUGCACAAAAUGCAGGCAAUGAAGACCUGGUGGUAGCCAAAGGGACUUAUGAGAAGGGAACAAGAGAUGAUAUUGAAGAGUUCAUAUAUAAAUUGUUGGACAUAAACGGCGAUGGUGUUUUGGGGAGAGUGGGAUACUUCUACAGUUUAGUGAAGUAGAAAUCUCUAUAUGGUCAUUGUGAUGAUUUAAACUUACAAAUUGGCAUUCUAAGAUAUACAUUUGGUAUUUGCUAUUGUGGGCUGCAGAAAUAAGGAGCAGUUUGGUGAUUGCUUGUUAUAAUUUGUUACUGGGAUAUAUCGGGCUUUGAGCGUAAGAGUUGGACCAACACAGAGAACUGCAAAAUCAUUAUUCAAGGCAUGCUUCUAUCUUUUACUCCGUUAAAGGUCAAGCUCUUGUCAUUGAGAGGCGCAGACGGAAGUUGAGAAUUCCUUGGGUGGAAAUUCAGAAGAGAUUCUUUUUGAUGAAAAGAGGAAAUCCUUUGUAUCUGCUGGUCAUCUUCGUUGGCUUUUUACUCUUUAAAGCACUAUAGCUUUAAUUAGUUUGAAUUAUUCCUUCAUAACCUUGAAUUUUGCUUAUUCUGUUUGCAGGUUUGGGAAUAUCUAGUGAAAUGUUGCCUAAAGAGUCACUAAGUGAUC